rnacentral:rRNA from 1 species
GACAGAGGGUGCAAACGUUGUUCGGAAUUACUGGGCGUAAAGCGUGUGUAGGCGGUCUCGUAAGUCGGGUGUGAAAGCCCUGGGCUCAACCCAGGAAGUGCACUCGAAACUGCGAGGCUAGAGUACUGGAGAGGUUGGUGGAAUUCUCGGUGUAGAGGUGAAAUUCGUAGAUAUCGAGAGGAACACCGGUGGCGAAGGCGGCCAACUGGACAGAUACUGACGCUGAGACUCGAAAGCGUGGGGAGCAAACAGG